GGAACCGGGGACGUGUAUGGCUUUGCUUUGCGCGUUGUUUGUGUAAAAUAUGAUUUCGUGUGUUCCACAAACAAGCGAAGCUAUUUACGUUACGUUAGCGAUAAAUUACGUUUGAUUUUUUCACACGAACAGAGGCGUCCACGAAAACAAAGAAAGCGUAUUGUCUCCACGUCGGCUGCUGUUGGACUCAUCACCUGCACGUCACCACGCCAGCUGUGGAAAAAGUGGCGACAUGUCGUGAACGACAGGAUCGGGGAGGUUUUGAGCAGACACGCAGCCGACAGACGCAAAGUUGUGGGACACGUGGACGGGUCUGCGCUACGAUGAUGAGGACAACCUGCAUUUGGACAGGAUCGGAGGUUUUGAGCGGACACGCAGCCGACAGACGCAAAGUUGUGGGACACGUGGAUGGGUCUGCGCUACGAUGACUAGGACAACCUGCUUUUGGACAGGUGCAGGAUCUUGGGGGGGCCAGGGUGCUUCUCCAUGAUGGCUCUUGUUCUGGAAGCCGCCCUGCACGCAGAGUCAAAAAAACAAACAGCGUGUCAAACCCAGCAAACGUGGCGACAGGCGAGCCUCGUACAUCUUGUUCCUCUCACAGCUCUGCACGACGUCAACAAGAGGCCGUCAAGACUGCACACAAAAAGCAGGAUGUGAGGAGUGGUUGCUGCAAGUCAUCCUCCUUCAGAAGAUUGUCUUUAACGCAGAUGAGCAAGCAGUAGGAAAAUGAGUGGACUGUAAAGUGUGGACACCAGUGCAAACCAAACUUGUCCCCAACCUCUCUGGCUGCUCCACGGUUUGGCUUCAGCACCUUCUGAUGUGGUCUUCCAGCUGAGGAGGGAGAUGAUGCAACAUGCAGAUGUCAAACCCAGCAGACAUGGCGACCGGUCAGCCUCGUUCACCUUGUUCCUCUCGCAGCUCUGGAUGACGUCAGAGGCUGUCAAGACUGCACACAAAAAGCAGGAUGUCAGGACUGGUUGCUGCAAGUCAUCUCAGGUGUCCUUACCCUCCUUCAGAAGAUUGCCUUCACACAGAUGAGCAUGCAGGAGGAAAAUGGCAAACUGAGGCCAAACUGUCUCAAACAAAGACAUCUGUUAAGUUAUUGUCAUGCAGCACAUUUGACAAGAGAUGAAACCCACCAGCAAUGAAGAGGCUGCGACUUGUUGCUGCCUGGGACUUCGUCCAAGUGCUCACAUGGCUGCAUUCACAGGAAGCUGAGCAUGAAGGGAAGAACAUUUGAUCAACAUUGUGACCUGUAUUCACAGAGUGGCCUUCUCAGGCUGCUCCACAGUUUGGCUUCAGAACCUGAUGUGGUCAUCCAGCUGAGGAAGAGGCGACAACAUGCAGAGUAAGAAAAGAGAGAGAUCAACAAUCAACACUUUCGUUGUAAUUUGCAUUAAUUUCUUGCAGAUUAGAAAAGUUGCACUUGAACCCACUGAAGCCGGAAUGACAGUUUCCUUGUUGCUGAUGACAGUCACCAUAGCCAGCGUGACGAGCACGGCGACAGAUGUGUCGUGACGUCCCCGAAGAAACAGAGUCAAACAUUAACCCAAUGAGUUUUGUGAAAUUAUGUUUUUGAGACCAAGUUUUUCCUGCGACAACGAGCACUCACAGGAAGUUGAACAUGUUCCUCAGGCUCGGGAAGAACAAGAACACAGAAAACUGAACACAAGAUGGACAGUCAAACUGCUAAUUAGUGAGUUUAUUUUCAAGUUUUAACAGCAUUGAGGACCACCUGCACAGUCAUGUAGAACUGUUUUCCCCAGCAAGUGCAGGAUCUUGGGGGCCAGGGUGCUUCUCCUCCACGAUGGAGCUUGUUCUGGAAGCCACCCUGCAUGCAGACAUGUCAAACCCAGCGGAUUUGGUGACGGUCAGCCUCGUACACAAUCUUGUUACUCACGCAGCGCUGGAUGAAGUCAAAAGGAUGUCAAGACUGCACACAAAAGCAGAAUGUCAGGAUUGGUUGUUGAAAGUCAUCUCAGGUGUCCUUAACCUCCUUCAGAAGAUUGUCUUUAACGCAGAUGAGCAUGCAGGAGGAAAAUGGCAAACUUAGGCCAGAAUUUCUAAAAAGCAGAAUGCUUUUUAGAAAUUGAGCUGGACACAAUGGGCCGCUUAACAAGAAAGAAAGACACAGUAACACAAUUAGCAACAUGACAUUUGGUAACCAUGUCUAUACAGUAGAGCUGCAACUAAAGUCUCAAAUAUGCUGUAAAAAAUACAAAAAGUCUCUUUGAAGUAGAUAUUUUAGAAUCAAUUUGGCCGUUUGAGAUGGAAGCCUGUGGACAGAAAUUAGACAAUUAUUAAUACACACAUACAUAUAGGUAUAGUUGAUGAACUGUUUAAUUGAGAAUACGGCAACCUACCUCCCACCAAACGGCGCUCUUCUCUAGAUGUUGGAAAGGGUUGGAGCCAAUACUUUCAUGAUCAAGUGCAAUGCAUUUAUUUGUUGCCAUA